CAGGCUGUCAUUGGGGAGUAGCCAGCCUUUCAAUCCUGAAAGGGGCUUGCGUCAACAGACUUGUCCUGGAAAGCAAUUCUUUCGGACAUGGCGCAAGCGGUCUUCGGGCCACGCGAGACCUUUGACUGCACAGCCUCCGCUUCAGGCCGGGGAUGCCGUGCAGUCAUGGGUUUCCUCCGGCCGGAGUCU
rnacentral:sRNA from 2 species